rnacentral:rRNA from 1 species
CCUACGGGAGGCAGCAGCAGGGAAUAUUGCACAAUGGACGGAAGUCUGAUGCAGCGACGCCGCGUGGACGAAGAAGGCCUUCGGGUUGUAAAGUCCUUUUCAAGGGGAAGAGACAGGACGGUACCCUUGGAAUAAGCGUCGGCUAACUACGUGCCAGCAGCCGCGGUAAUU